CAAAUGGCCCUUUUCAGGGCCACAAAUCUCUUAACGAUGGGCUGAU
rfam:Cerapachys biroi unplaced genomic scaffold scaffold1001, whole genome shotgun sequence.